rnacentral:tRNA from 1 species
GCAAUCGUGGCCGAGUGGUUAAGGCGAUGGACCCCAAAUCCAUUGGGGUCUCCCCGCACAGGUUCGAAUCCUGUCGGCUGCG